UACGUAGGGUCCAAGCGUUGUCCGGAUUUACUGGGCGUAAAGAGCGCGUAGGCGGUCUAUUAAGUGUGAAGUGAAAUCUCCAGGGCUCAACCCGGAAACUGCUUCGCAUACUGAUAGACUUGAGGAAUGCAGAGGUUUGUGGAAUUCCUGGUGUAGCGGUGAAAUGCGUAGAGAUCGGGAGGAAUACCUGUGGCGAAGGCGGCCUACUGGGCCGGACCUGACGCUGAGACGCGAAGGCGUGGGGAGCGAACGGG
rnacentral:rRNA from 1 species